rnacentral:rRNA from 1 species
GACGAACGCUGGCGGCGUGCUUAACACAUGCAAGUCGAGCGAGGUUCAACCGGUGGCAACACCGGGGAAGACCUAGCGGCGAACGGGUGAGUAACACGUGAGCAACCUGUCCCGGAGUCUGGGAUAACACCGGGAAACCGGUGCUAAAUACCGGAUACCCCCACCGGACCGCAUGGUCGUGGUGAGGAAAGAAUUUAUUUGCGUUCGGGAGGGGCGUCGCGGGCGUAUCAGCUUGUUGGU